GUUUGGCAAUCUUGCUUACACAUGGGUGUGAACCUGCGUGUACCCAGCCCGGGAGAUACUGGAGUCUGUACAGGAUUAGUACAUGGGUUAGAAAUACCUUUUUUCCUUAGCUCUAAGGUCAGAUCUACUGGUGCUAAGAGAUAGCGUGUUUCUAACAGAAAUUAAGUGAUAUAGUUAAGCAUUCGGUGCAUGCACUCAAACACACAGAGCCAGUGAGAUAGAGGGUAAACAUUAGAGAUACGGAAAUGCAAUUUAGUACUCAAAAAAUUCACUCUAAUGAGGAAAUAGUCCAGCAAAUAGGUAAUUGCAGUUCUCUGAUUCAUGUAUUUUCUCAUUCUUCUUGCGUUAAAGAAUGCGGUAGCCUCAUAGCUGGGUACACUAAUUUCAUAUUUAGUCGUGUGGGUUUUUAUGGAAUGAAGACAUCAUAGACUAUAUAAAGACAUCUAUGAAAAUAAGCCAGUUUGAUGGUUUUUUUUUUUUCAUCUUGAAGAAUGGCACGUAAAAAUAUGCAAAGUGCUUUACGAGUAAAUGUUAAUAUGCACCUGUAGUUUAUCUUGGUAUAGAUUAGGUUUAUGUAUUAAGAAACAUCCCACAGAUGUAGCAGGACGAGCCGCAGACAAAACUCCUCAGACACCGGAUUAAAGAAGAAAGAGGUUUUUUAUUCGGCCGGGAGCGUCUGCAGACUCACGUCUUAAGAGCCGAGCUCCCCGAGAAAGAAAUCCUUCAGAAAUCCUUCUUUCUCCUGCUACACAGUACUGUGUGAAACAUCUCAUCCUGUUGUUACUAAAUGAAUGAUCAGCGAAUUAUCCAAAUUAUCGUACUCUGAAACAGACGGUUUUAUCCAGCUUGUAAGUGGCGAAAAGACAGUGUUUGGAUCCACUCCACUGGCUUACCAAUAUGGAGGCCACCAGGUGUCCAGUGUGUGUUGUUCUCCCUGGCAUGUCCAUGUGUUCUCAGUCGGCUCCAACUGAAAACUGAGAAGAUGCAGUGUUUGGUUUUCUGUUCCUGUGUUAGUUUGCUGAAGGGCAUUAUUAGGCUUCAUCAUACAGGAACAUUAUCCCUCGAUGGAUGUCAAAGAACCUAGAUACCUGUAACAUGAAUGACUCAGAUUCUGAGGAAAAAGAAUGACAACUUGACUCAUGGAAAGUCUGCAGUUGUUAGAGAAUCAGACAGAAGAAGCUCUACGUUGAUUUCUCGGCUCCUUAGAAAGGAUCCCGCCAAGGAUGGCCACCUCUCCACACCCGGGCUGUUUCUCCUGCAAGUGAAUUGCAGCCCAGCCCACACCAGUCUCAGCCUGGGUGACAGAAUGAGACUCAGUCUCAAAACAAGCAAACAAACAAACAAACAAAAACUAAUGAUACUCAGGGGCAAAUGGUGGGAAGGGGGAGAAAGAUAAGAGACUACAAAUUGGAUUCCGUGUGUACUGCUUGGGUGAUCGGUGCACCAAAAGCUCACAAAUCACCACUAAAGGAGUUACUCAAGUAACUAAAUACUACCUGUUUGCCAAAAAUUUAUGAAAAGAAAAAUUAAAUUUUUUAAUGGUGAAAAUUGAGUGUCGUACUUUUAAGUUACAAAAGGCACAUCUAUCAUGAGACUUAAUUAUUCUAAUGUUUAAAGAAAUGAAGAGAACAACCAGAGUUAAAUAGAAAAGCUGUCAGACAUUUCGUCUACAGCAAUGAAAUGUGUAGUACGCGGUUUGUAUUUUGAAACUUAGUUUUCAGCCAUCCUGGGGGAAGAAGAAGAGGAAACAGAACUGAGCAUUGGGGUAGGCAGGAGGAAAGUAAGAAACCGGUUGGACACAGCAGGGAAAGAAGGGGUGAGGACU